rnacentral:rRNA from 1 species
UACGUAGGGUGCAAGCGUUAUCCGGAAUUAUUGGGCGUAAAGAGCUCGUAGGCGGUUUGUCGCGUCUGCUGUGAAAACUGGAGGCUCAACCUCCAGCCUGCAGUGGGUACGGGCAGACUAGAGUGCGGUAGGGGAGAUUGGAAUUCCUGGUGUAGCGGUGGAAUGCGCAGAUAUCAGGAGGAACACCAAUGGCGAAGGCAGAUCUCUGGGCCGUAACUGACGCUGAGGAGCGAAAGCGUGGGGAGCGAACAGG